AUUGAACGCUGGCGGCAGGCCUAACACAUGCAAGUCGAACGAGUGGCGGACGGGUGAGUAAUGUCUGGGAAACUGCCCGAUGGAGGGGGAUAACUACUGGAAACGGUAGCUAAUACCGCCUACCAUCGGAUGUGCCCAGAUGGGAUUAGCUAGUAGGUGGGGUAACGGCUCACCUAGGCGACGAUCCCUAGCUGGUCUGAGAGGAUGACCGGCCACACUGGAACUGGUAAACGGUCCAGACUCCUACGGUAGGAGGCAUGGGGGAAUAUCGCAAAAUGGGCUCAAGCCUGAUGCAGCAAUGCCGCGUGUAUGUAGAGGGCCUUCGGGUGGUAAAGUACUUUCAGCGAGGAGGCGUUACUCGCAGAAGAAGCACCGGCUAACUCCGUGCCAGCAGCCGCGGUAAUAC
rnacentral:rRNA from 1 species